UACAGAGGUCUCAAGCGUUGUUCGGAAUUACUGGGCGUAAAGGGUGCGCAGGCCGCGCGGGCAGUCAAAUGUGUAAUCCAGGGGCUCAACCCCUGAACUGCGCUUGAUACUUCCGCGCUCGAGCUUUGGAGAGGAGUCUGGAAUUCUCGGUGUAGCAGUGAAAUGCGUGGAUAUCGAGAAGAACACUUAGGGCGUAGGCAAGACUCUGGACAAAUGCUGACGCUCAUGCACGAAGGCUAGGGGUAGCGAACGGGG
rnacentral:rRNA from 1 species